rnacentral:lncRNA from 10 species
CAUUCUACAAAUGAGAAAACUAAUUUGUUCUAGGGCAAUAAGUUGUAUCCCAAAAGUCUGUAAAUGUUUCCCAAUUAGAAAGAUCUCCCGUAAUUAGGGUGGCUCAUUAUUAUAAUUAGGGUGCCCCAGUUUGGCUGGUUCUACCUAAGCAAUUCACUCUCAAAAGUGUCCUAGUUUGAGGGAUAAAUGAUAUGGUCAGCCUGCCCAAAAGCACAGAAUUAAAUGCAGAAUUUCACUUGUAACAUGAGGAGUGACACAUUGGGCCAUCAGGGACACAGCUGUGCCUGUCUUGCAUAAGAGUGAUUCCUUAAGUAAGGUACUUAUUUGGGGCAUCAAUACAUUUUUUUUCACUCUCUCCACUUGGAUAAGUGAAAGCUUCUCUCUUGUUCAACCACAGUGUUUGAUCCCAAGCGCAUUAGAAUCACCUGGUGAGCCUUGUAAACUCAGAUUUCUUCUGUCCCAUCUAGGGUCAAUUAAACUAGAAUUUCUGAGGGUGGAUGGUAGGAAUGAUAUUUUUCAAAAGCUCUCCAGACAGAGCUUUUGACAUUCCAGCCAGAAGUGAUGACUGGCUGCUUAUAAAUAAACACUAGGUGAUAAUGGUGCAGUAUAUUAGACCCAUGGAAAGGGCAUUGCAAAGGAGAGAUCAUAUUUGGUGUGGGGAAUGUUGCCAAGGAAGCUGAUAUAUUUUGAGAUGGCUCACGGACAGUAUGAUGGCUCCACAGAGUGGAGGGGUAAUAUAUUGGUGGCUGCCUGCUCUAAAUUUUGAAACUCCUGUGUUUAUCUUGACUUAAUGAAGUGUGCUAUUGUUUAAAAUAUUCUGUGUUCUAUGGAAGCGAUAUUGAGUCUGGUCUCCCAUUCCAAUAUUUUUGUUCUCUGUAACUUUAUUUGGAUCUGUUGCAACUUCUUGCUCUGUGUGUGUAUGUGCCUGUGUGCAUGUUGCGUCAGGGAGUUACAAUGAGGGUAUACUUAGAAUUGUUGGCUAAAAAGGUUGUGUAUAAAAAUAAAGGUUGUGUAUCUGUGAGCAUCAUGUUUUCUAAGAGAUAAAACCCUUUAUUGUGUUACUUUUUCAGAAUAUGCUUUCUGAGAAAGUAGAAAAGAAGUAUCUCAUUUUGCAGAGAAAGACCUGGACUCACAGAAAUGUGAGGUGGUCAGCUGAGCGCCAUGCCAUGAAUCAAUACAGCCCCUGAAUUAGUGGUGAAGAUUUCUAAUCAUUGAUAUAAUGCUCUGUGAAAAUACAGGCAUGGUGAAAAAGAAGUUUCACUGUUUUUCCAAUUUAUGAAAGUGCUUUUAGAGUAUCAUUAAAUCUACUUUAUGGUUAUUUAUUGCAAUACAUGUUUAUUUUCCUUUGAAAUGCACUUAAUCAUACCCUAAUCUCCUUGCUAUAAUUUUUCCAUGGAAAGAAAAUAACGUUUCAGUUAAUGUAAUUUCAAUAUGCUGGGAUCUCAGUCUCCUGUUUCAGGUGCCUCGGGAUGCAGGAGACCAGGCCAGGGACUUGUUCCUUCCUGGGUACAGAUCACCACAGUUUAGAAUUGUCAAAUUCUUUGCUGAAAACUCCAAGUAACUUAAAUUCUUUCCCUUAGGUUUUUUUUUUUUUUCUGGGCAAAUGCUUUUUAGUCAAUCCUAGGAUUCUAUUCUAAGAGGUCGUUUCUCAAGUUUCCUUAAGCUGUAACCCUCUCCAAACCCCAAUUUUAACUCUAGUUCUUCAAUCUCUCAUCCCUCUUCCAUGAUGAUUUGCCAUCUUUUUCUCUGGGGAGAAGACACACAUAUAGAAAUGAGCAAAGAGCUUUAAAUACUAGCUGCCCAAGAGAUGCUUAGCCUCCUGUUCCAGCCACUGGAGUUGAGGGGUGGAGGCACGUGAUGUCACGGAAAGGGAAUGCUCGCUAGUCUUCAAGCAGUCCCCUAAGGGAUCUUUGAUCUCAGGCUGAAUGGAGGAAGAAGAGCUUUUCUAGUUGACGCCUGUCACAGAGAUCUGAUGAAGUCAAUGUAAAUGAGUCCGCAGAAGCUUGAUAGCCUAUAGAAGUCCUUGAAAAUCCCGAAUGGCACGAGAAGGUUGAAAACUAGUCAAGAUGCUGAUAUCUUCAAGAAGUUAAAUAUAACCUAAAAAAAUUAUUUGUCACAGAAUAAGGUUGGUUUAAAAAAUUGUAAAGGGGAGGAGAGUGGAGAUUCAAGCCUAGAGAGGAAGGCUGAAUAAGAAGAAAGUAAUUGUGAAGUCAACUGUAAAAUAUUUCCUGGGUCUCACCUGGUAAAUCCACACGGGCUUCCUGAAAGAGGAAGGCUAGAGUUACUUUUGAGUUGCCUUUCAAAUGAUAAGCAGGGUCCUUGAGUAAACAGGAAAUGAAAGACUCGAGAGAGUAGCUGAGGAAGGAUGCAGAAGUGAAAAGGAGAGGGGAGCCAUCAGCACCCCAGAUUUAAUUUGAUGGAGAAUUUUCUCUAUUUGUUUAUGUGUGUGCCCGUCUUUAUUAGACUGUCUGUUUGCCUUUCAAGGGCUGGGACUGUGCCUCAUUCACCUUCAUAUUCUAGUAUAAUGCAAGCUUAGGAAAUUAUUGUCUAAAUACAUACACUCAGACAUAAAUGGAUGAGAGUAAGAAUAAAGGCAUAAGUGGUGGUAUUUAGCAGCAGCCUUGGCUGUGAGCUUAAGACUGUUUUUUGUGACCUGCCAUCUUCCUUUGCGCAACAACACAGCUCAUGAUGAUGUUCCAGAGCAUUUUGCCACCAGAAAAUGAGGCUUGCUUUUGGUCUUUUGAAGGAAGACUGCAGUGAACAGUUAAAUUGACUUUAAAUUUAGCAGCAUUGGGCAAGAAUAGAAAUGUUCUAAUCCUGUCUCCUCCUACGGAAUGUGAAUUGUGGUCAAAGUAAUAUGUUUUUGCCUUCUGUGAUUUCGAUCAAAUUUCAUAGGCCAGACAGGGCGUAGGGAGCCAGGCUGCACAGCCACUCUCCCUGGUAAACAGUGUCACACCUCCCUUGGACAGCCCAGGGUACCAUGUGUGCCCUGGCGUUACAGACACCUCACCAGGGCUUGUCUGUUCUCCCUGCCUUGUUUCUCAGCCCAGUGUUCAUGUGGAGUUUGGCUUCCUCUUCUUAGAACUGGGAAAGGCAACGCUGUGCAGGUGUGAGAGGUACAUACACAUGCGCCCAGAAGAUGCUGCCCCAGAAAAACAUACCCAGGGCCUGUAUUUGACUCAGAGUUUAAGGUCUUACUUUUCAUUAGAAAAUAAGAUCACUAGCUCUAAAAUUUCCACUGGGGAAGACUGGGUUGGCUUAGCAGGGCAGUGCUAUCUGAUGGGCAGCUGUAUUCUAUAAAGUAGAUGAGGGAAGAUGACAGAAUGGCAUGUCUGUGGGCAGAAAGCAGAAGGGAAAUUGGCUUCCCUUCAUAGGCCACUAAGGAAAGGGUUAUCCAGUGGCCUGCUGGAUUUGACACUAUCUGCCUGCCACAUCUGAGCUCAGCAUUUUUGCUUUGACACGCAUGGGUCAUUCUACCCAUUGAGCUUCAGCAAUUCCCUAUUACAGAUGCUUAUUGGCAACAGAAUCUUAAGUCCAAUAAAGGAGCAAAGAGAUUUUACUUUGGAAGGAAAUACUAUGGAUUCUUCAGUCAUUCAGAGGCCUCACCUCCUCCCUUAAUGAGUGCUCCCAAUGUAAAGGUAUAAUGACUGGCUAACUAAAUGCUUUGGGGGUAUAGGAAUGAGGACACACAUCUAGAAAAGUGGAUUUUAGAAGAAGAAAAGACAGUAUAAUGAAAACAAGUUUAAGAAAGAGCAAAAAUAAAAUUUGACUUAUGUAUAUCAAUUGUGAUGAACUGUAAUUAUGCAUUACAUGGAACAAGUCUACACAAUCAGAUAAGAAUUCUUCACUAAUUUCCUCUUUAUUUGUCUAUGUCAUAAUCCACACUAGGGAAGAAACAACCUCUACUUUUUAAAAGUCACAAAUAUUAAGCCUAUAAAAAUAUCAAUAUCUUAUCAAAGUUUAGCUCAAAUUUAUACAGGAAAACAAAGGUUCAUUCCAACCCACCUAGCUUCUUCUGAUGGUUUAUUAAGUAGUAUUUAAGAAAAUUGAGUCUCAUAUUAUCUGGCCAAAAGAUAUUUUUCUUGCCUCUGUAUUAUUAAACAACACUUACUGAGACUAUUCAUCAGAUGUCCAGAUUAAUCUUGACGGUGAAGAAUACAUGAACUCUAUAUGCAAUCUUAAAAAGGAGUAAUAUAAUAUGCUAGUUUUCUCUUUCGUGUCCAUUCCUCAAAACUUGAUUAUUAUUAGGUUAGGCUCAUCCUUUACUAAUUACCUUUAGUUAAGAUUUCUUAGUUUGCAAAAAUUAUUGAAUUUAUAUUGACUUAACUGAAUGAGCAUUUGAAAACUGUCUCUCAUAGUUCAUCAUGAGUACUGAAUUGUUCCUCCUCUUUUUCUUUAAGUUUCUUCUCUUUACUACAUAUUUUUCCCCAACCAGUUAUUUUUGUUGUUGUUAUUUGCUUCUUAAAAAUUCUGUGAGGCUUAUUUUUAGAAUAUUUUAUAAAUCUGGCUAUGUCUAAGAAUGGCAAACUAUGAUAAUUGAUGUACUUAAUAUUUGCUAACACAUGUCUAUUCCACUGUCAAUGAAAAGACUGUGCUUGCUUUGAUCAAGAAUUAGCCAAAAUUUGGAACUCUCAGAAAGCUAUUUAUUUAUUCCAGAACAAAGCAUUUGGUUUGUACUACCAUCAAAAUAUUCUAAGUGGCUAGUUACACUGGUAAAAAAAAUAAGAUAUCUCUUUUGUUCAGGCCUUCAGAAUUUUAACAUCAUACAAAAUCAAUAAAGCUCUUAAAUGUAAAUCUAUGAAGAUGAGACACACUGAUUUCUUGGCUAUUGUUUACUGAGGUGAUUAAAAAAAGCCUUGCAGCCCAAACAGAAUUUUAUUUUCUCUGUCAAUAAGAACAAUAUACUUCCAUGGAUAAGUAUGUCAUCUAUGGAAGCAUUUCAGAUGUCUGUGUUGCAGAUGCAGAAGUUAUCUCUUGGGAUUUCCCUGCACCACAUCACAUACUAGACUAUCCAUUGUAGGAAAAGAUGGUUGGGUCGAUUAUAGGAGUUGUCCUUGGAAUCAAUUCCAAGCGCUCCAGAAACUUACAUCUAUAGGUCUGACUUAAUGUAAUUCAUAAUUGUCCCAUGUUAUAGGUCUGACCUAAUGUAAUCCAUAAUUGUCCCAUGUUAUUUUUUAAAAUGUGGCUGAUAUAGAUCUCCUAGAAAAAGGUCACAUAAUUAGAAUUAUUUCAGUAUUUAAUUUACAGGGAAAUUCGGGGGUUCAAAGUAGUCAGGAGAUGCUUUAAGUGAAAGACGUUGCCUAAGGCCGUUCUAGUAAGUAUGAUAACGGUUUGUAAAAUCACCAUCAGCUACAUCGUCAUUUGAAAACAGAUUUAAGAAAUAUAUAUAUACUCAAAGCACUGCACUAAAGGAAAACAGACCAAGACUAGUAAUAUUAAUCCACUGUCAUCCAGUUGGCUGGCCUACCUGCUACAGAAGCUGAGGCUCAGCUGGCCUGCCAAUGGGCUUGAGCCCGUGGGGAUCUGUGACUGUACCAUGACUCACUGACCCUGCAAAAGCCAAACUGGCUCCGUUGUCUUUGUCCAGAGUCCUCAUUUCAAGGCCUUGGCCUCUCUUGCCUCUUUACCAAGGUAAAAGGCAGCAAUAAGUAUGAAGAGUCAGACAAAAAAAAAAACA